ACUCCUCUCUCAGGAAUGUCAUGGAGCAGGUUGAGGUAUGUUAGCACUGUGUUUCUUAUUUGAAGGGAAAUGAAAGAAGCCAGAAGGACUUGUACGUUCGAGCACUCAUAUGACACUUUUUUUUCCCGUUGAGUAUUGUUUUGGACGUUAUAGAAGGCAACCUUUGUACUAUCAACUUCCUAAUCAGGUCAUUUGAAACAGUUAAAGUAGAUUUUUGGAUUAUAAAUCUCUUAGUUUGACUAUAGCAAUAUUUAUAAGGAUUUAGAAAGCCCAACAUGGCAUUUUAGUGGGAAUGACAGCAACGGCACUCCACUGAAUGUGUCACUAAGGUGUCAGCUGAGGUGACCGGCGCAGAGGAGUGUACUGUAUGGAGAAGAGAAGCAAGAGAUGCAUUUCAACCACACAACUCCCCACAUUUUACCAACCAAAAACACCAAACCUGGAUUUCCUGGUUACUAUGCCCUCAUCCCCAUACUGCUCAUACUGUUUGGAUGUGCGGUGGCAAUGGUUUAUUAUUUCAGAAGAAGGUCAAGAUUAGAUGAUCUACGUCAUAGGCUGAUUCCUCUUUACACCUACGACCCCGCAGAGGAGCAGUGGGACGACCGUGACAGGGAGGAGGACGAGGAGCAGGCUGAACCUUUAUACAAGAGGGGGAAGCUGUCCUUUUCAUCUUAACAUGGAUUAUGAAGUGGAAAUCAAGAAAGUUAAACAUAUGUGGCCAUUUGGACAGAUGAUUUACAAAUGCAGACUGGCGGCUUCAUGAACUUUGAAAACAUCUGAAUGUCAUUCAUCAGCCACUAGCACCAUAUCGAAUAAUUGAUUUUCAAGAUCAUGUUCAUUGCAGAGCUGCAGACAACGGUUGUCACUGUGAUCCUCUUUUUGUGUGUGUUUUCUUUUAGAGAAUGUAAGUGUUUAAGGAUUAAGCAAUACACUAUUGUUGAGCAAUAAACUAAGACCAAAUCAAAAAAUGCUUUUGUUUUGUUUGUGUAAUUCAAAGAAAUGUUGAUGGGUUAUGCUUAAAGAGCUUCAAAGACACACACCUGUCUCUGCUUGGCAAUCAGAGUGUGUGCUGCUGUUUGGAGGUUCUUCAGGUUGACUCUUGACAUCUUCACAUGUUAUGGAGAGUUUUACAUACAGGAAGAUGGGAUCACAAACAAAGAGACGUCCUGAUCUGUUGGGGCCACACUGGAUCCUGUCCUCCAUCCUGAUGGCUGCAGCUCUGUUCCUCCCCUCUCUGAGUCUGGACAGCCUGCUGUGUAAAUUCUGUCCUCUGCAGCACAAAGGCACGUCCUGUCCUGGGAUCAGCAGCCAGUGUCUGCCUGACCAGCGCUGCUCCAGCUCCAGAGGACACUUCGGCUCCCUCCACGUCCUCUCUGCUCAGGGCUGCGUGGACGCUGAACUCUGUGGCUCCCAUGAGAUGGCCUCUUUUCGAGGGGUAAAGUACAACGUCAGCCACACCUGCUGCUGCAGAGACAAAUGUAACGGCCAUCCAAACUCUAACAACAACCUGAAGAAGCUAUUGGGGAUGCUAGCCGACAAACUACAUUACCCUAACAUCACUAGUGUUCUUAGAGAGGAGCAUUGGGAUUCAUGUGCAAAUUACACAUCUUCAAAUACGUUGCCUACCAAUGCAUCAUAGAAGUGUUUGUAUAAGGCUGGGGAGCGGCCUGUUAGCCAUAGGCACUUACCUGAGCCUUCAAAUAGUCACUAGCAUUUCAACAGAUGUUUGUGAUUAUCAGUAUUUUAGCUAAAUUACUGUUAAAAUGCUUCAUUGUCAGUGUUUCAUGUACAUUUUUGAUCCAGAGAGAAAAGGGUGGACAGCUAUCCUCCUGGUAUUUUAUAAACACUAUUGAUGUGGUAACUUAUGAGUUCAGCAAAAUCACCAUGAUUAAACUUCCCACUUGGUUUAGUUCCUUCGAGUUGAUUUUACCAGCAGGUGUGCAGGGAGGUGUGGCCUCUGCAUGCAGAUCUCAGUGGUGAGACAAGAGUUCAUCAGGAGGAGCUCUGAGAGGUUUCGACUGGAAUUAAAAUCUUAACAAAUGUGGAACAUGUCCCAGCUCCUGCAGGCUGCUGCUCUGUGGAUCUACCUGCUCCUGCCCUCGCUGCUCUGUGCAAACAUGCGCUGCUACUACAGCCCCAUCCUGGAGAAGGGGGAUAAAUUUAAUCUCAUCGUGUCAGAGUGCCGUCCUGAUGAGAUAUGCUUUAAGGCAGAAGGUCGCUAUGGAAACUACAGCGCCCUGUCUGCCAGGGGCUGCAUGGCAAAGAAGGGCUGCAGCCGGGUGCACAAGAUCCGCAUCAGAGGAACCUUGUACACCAUGAGCUACGGCUGCUGCGAUUCACCGUACUGUAACUCCUGCCCAGGGGUCUUCGCCAAACCCCUCGUCAUCACACUUACACUAUUGACUGUAGCUGUGAUGGCCGGCAUCUUGUGAAGACACCUCCUGUGCUGUAUGAUGGGUAAUUUUAAGGGGGGUGGGGUUCAGUGCCCAGAGGCAUUUCUGCAGCCUCAGCAUGGAGUAAUGCAGAGGCUGUGUAUGGUGAACGCCCAGAAGACACUGAGGUGUGCACCAUAGUGAUGCCAGAGAUUUUAACAUUUUAUUUUGAAUAUCAUGGUGACCAAAAACUGUUUUCAUAAUGUUUUAAUGUUCUUUAAAUAAAUAUUUGAAUAUUAAAUUAUA